GUGUCAGCCGCCGCGGUAAGACAGAGGGGGCAAGCGUUGCUCGGAAUCACUGGGCGUAAAGGGCGCGUAGGCGGGAUGGCAAGUCGGUCGUGAAAUCCUUCGGCUCAACCGAAGAACGUCGGCCGAUACUGCUGUUCUUGAGGGAUGCAGAGGAGACUGGAAUUCCCGGUGUAGCGGUGAAAUGUGUAGAGAUCGGGAGGAACACCGGUGGCGAAGGCGGGUCUCUGGGCAUUUCCUGACGCUGAGGCGCGAAAGCGUGGGGAGCAAACGGGAUUAGAUACCCUUGUAGUCC
rnacentral:rRNA from 1 species